rnacentral:rRNA from 1 species
GACGAACGCUGGCGGCGUGCUUAACACAUGCAAGUCGAACGGAAAGGCCCCCAUCUUGGUGGGGGUGCUCGAGUGGCGAACGGGUGAGUAACACGUGGGUGAUCUGCCCUGUACUUCGGGAUAAGCUUGGGAAACUGGGUCUAAUACCGGAUAGGACCAUGGUUUAGUGUCUCAUGGUGGAAAGAUUAUUGUUUUGGUGCAGGAUGAGCUCGCGGCCUAUCAGCUUGUUGGUGGGGUAAUGGCCUACCAAGGCGUCGACGGGUAGCCGGCCUGAGAGGGUGGACGGCCACAUUGGGACUGAGAUACGGCCCAGACUCCUACGGGAGGCAGCAGUGGGGAAUAUUGCACAAUGGGCGCAAGCCUGAUGCAGCGACGCCGCGUGGAGGAUGACGGCCUUCGGGUUGUAAACUCCUUUCGUUAGGGACGAAGCCGCACUUUUUUUGGGUGUGGUGACGGUACCUUUGUUAAGAAGCACCGGCUAACUACGUG